rnacentral:rRNA from 1 species
GACAGAGGGUGCAAACGUUGUUCGGAAUUACUGGGCGUAAAGCGCGUGUAGGCGGCUUUGCAAGUCGGGCGUGAAAUCCCACGGCUCAACCGUGGAAGUGCACUCGAAACUGCAGAGCUAGAGUCCUGGAGAGGAAGGUGGAAUGCUUGGUGUAGAGGUGAAAUUCGUAGAUAUUCGCAAGAACACCAGUGGCGAAGGCGGCUCACUGGCCCGGAACUGACGCUGAGGUGCGAAAGCGUGGGGAGCAAACAGG